AUGAACGCUAGCGGCAGGCUUAAACAUGCAAGUUGAGGGGCAGCAUGAUAUACGCGAGUAUAUUGAUGGCGACCGGCGGACGGGUGAGUAAUAGGUAGGAGACCUACCUCAUACAGGGGGAUAGCAUAGAGAAAUCUGUGGUAAUACCCCAUGAGGUUAUAUGAAUAGAGGCAUAUAAUCAAAGCAUAAGCGAUUAUGCGGUAUGAGAGGGGCCUACUGACCAUUAGCUAGUUGGUGAGGUAAGGGCUCACCAAGGCGAAGAUGGUUAGGGGUUUUGAGAGAGAGACCCCCCACAUUGGAACUGAGAGACGGUCCAGACUCCUACGGGAGGCAGCAGUAGGGAAUAUUGGGCAAUGGGCGAAAGCCUGACCCAGCCAUGCCGCGUGAAGGAAGACGGCCUUAUGGGUUGUAAACUUCUUUACUACGCGAAUAGAGGUUAGUACGAGAUACUAAUAGGAAGGUAGUGUAGUAAAAAGCACCGGCUAACUCCGUG
rnacentral:rRNA from 1 species